ensembl:lncRNA
CUAGUACCUUGGAUAGUAUACUAGCAAGAGCAAUAGGUCUAUAGUUAUCUAUACUAGUUAAUUUACCAGUCUUAUUUUUAACUACAGGCACCAGCAAAACAGACAACAUGGACCCAGGAAGUAUGCCAUGUUUCAUCAACCCAGAAAAGCACAAAGCAAGUAAAACUGAGAUACUUUGACCAGCAUAUUUCAGAUGUUCUGCUGUUAUUCUAUCCCGCCCACAGGCUUUAUUCAUUUUAAGUUUGUCAAUAGUUCCUCCGGCUUGAUAACUACACGUUCACUGUAAGGUAUCUCUCCUAUGUUGAGCACUUUUGAACACUCUUCACACAGUUAAUGCAAUGUCUUCAGGUUCAGUAAUGCCAUCAAUACUAGAAGGCAGUGGCAUUCUGCUAUUAUUAACUUUCACCUCCUUCCAGAACUCAUACACGCUAGUUAGCUAGUUAACUAAGCCGUAUAUGCACGGGGUUGUCGUCGUCGUGGCGCAGGGGUUAGAGAAGAUGAGCUGGGUUGGUGGUUUGAGUCCAGGCUGCCCCAUGUUCCAUGUUGAAGUGUCCCUGAGCAAGACACCUAACCCCUAAUUGCUCCCCAGGCAAAAAUGUAAAAAAAAAGCCAUGGGUUUAAAGUAUAAUGUAAGUCGCUUUGGAUAAAAGUGUCUGCUAAAUGACCUGUAAUGUAAUAAUAUACACAAGAAUGUCUGUGUUAGGAAGUGGAGGCUGGUUAACCGCAGCAAUAACUACAGUAAGGAGACACAACCAGAACGAGGAUAAAAACACACAUUUUAUCCAAAAUAAUUCAUUGUGUGAAGUUUUGUGGGGCUUUUAAGUUGGUCUUUCCCAACACACUGAUCCGGUGUUUUCCCAACAAACUGGGUUCAUAGGUUCAUCUCAGUGACGUGCAGGCAGCCAAAAUUCUAAACAUAAAAAUGUUUAUUAAAUCAUUUAAUUUAUUAAACUUUUAUUUGUAUUUUUACUAUUUAUUCUUGUAAUUAUAGAUUAUACAUUGUUUAGACGUUACGAUGACAAAUGAUGACAAAGAACUAGAAUAAGCAGUGCUUUUACCCGAAAAGCCCCUUCGAUCCUGUAUUCUACAACAUCUGCUGAGCCUUUGCACGUAAAUGGUUAAGCCAAAAAUAAUAGCUCAAAAAUAGGUUAUGCCAGUAAUAAUCUACGUUACGUAUCAAACAUGGACCAAUUAAAAUCGAGAUAGUACUGGACAUUUGACGUCACUACACCACCUACGUUGUAAAUGUGAUCGCUGCGAAAUUCAAGUCAAACUGACGCCAGCGGUGUCCGGCGACAUCACAGAUUUUAGACGAGU